UAGGGAAUAUUGGACAAUGGGGGGAACCCUGAUCCAGCCAUGCCGCGCGGAGGAAGACUGCCCUCUGGGUUGUAAACUCCUUUUAUAUGGGAAGAACCGUCCUCAUUGAUGAGUGACCUGACGGUACCAUAGGAAUAAGCACCGGCUAACUCCGUGCCAGCAGCCGCGGUAAUACGGAGGGUGCAAGCGUUAUCCGGAUUCACUGGGUUUAAAGGGUGCGUAGGCGGAUAUGUAAGUCAGUGGUGAAAUCAACGGGCUCAACCUGUUAACUGCCAUUGAUACUGUGUAUCUUGAAUAUGAGAGAGGUAGGCGGAAUGUUGCAUGUAGCGGUGAAAUGCUUAGAUAUGCUACGGAACACCGAUUGCGAAGGCAGCUUACUAUUUCGUAAUUGACGCUGAGGCACGAAAGCGUGGGUAGCGAACA
rnacentral:rRNA from 1 species